GCUUCCCAGUGGUCUUACGUGUUCCCAACUUUCGCCGUUACAGUCCAUAAUGAAUGCGGCUGCAAGGCUCAUCUUCCUGUCCGCCCGCACCUCCCAUGCCUCACCCUUCUGUCAGUCCCUACACUGGCUUACUGUAAGAUAUAGGGCUCAAUUUAAAAUUCUGGUUCUUUCUUUCAAAUCUCUACAUAAUGCUGCUCCCACCUAUCUAUCCUCUAUACUCUAUCCUCACUGAUACACAGUAUGUCCCAUCUAGG